rnacentral:lncRNA from 9 species
UUUUUUUUUUUUUUUUUUUUUGUCUUUUUGCCUUUGCUAGGGCCGCUCCCGCGGCAUAUGGAGGUUCCCAGGCUAGGGGUCUAAUCAGAGCUGUAGCCGCUGGCCUACACCAGAGCCACAGCAACAUGAGAUCCGAGCCGCAUCUGCAACCUACACCAUAGCACAUGGCAACACCGAAUCCUUAAUCCACUGAGCAAGGCCAGGGAUCGAACCUGCAACCUCAUGGUUCCUAGUCGGAUUCUUUAACCACUGAGCCACCACGGGAACUCCCAUCAUUCGUUUUUGAGGCUAGUGUGGUAGGAGAGUAGUUUUUCCAUUUGUGCUGCAGAAACCCAGGGUACUCUGAGCCUUUCUGAGGCCCCCAGUGGUCAUUUUAAAUUUAUGCUUGGAUCUUUUUCAUUCAAAUUAGUCCAAAGAAGUUAGAUGCCUGGCUCAAGGGAGGUAGACGUACAGAGACCAGAUUGAGGGGUCGGUGCAUGCUUAUGGGGUGUCCACACAUGAAAAGCAGGUGAACCACUGAUUUAACCCUUUAGGUGUUUGUCAUGGAGCCACUGUCAAGGCCUUAUGCUGAUAUCUAGUGUCUUUGGAAAGAUAAGAAUUUCUGGGCUGCUUCGUCUUUUGCUGCCCUUCUCACCCUUUCCCAUUUUGUGGAGGGGGGUGGUGGCAUCCAUGUCGCCAGGAAUACAAAUUUGAAAGCAAACAAAAACUGUGCAGAUGACAUAUAGAGGUGACACUUAGGGUAAGUGUCAGGACAGAGAUAGGCCCGAGUGUCAGUGAGGACACGAAAGCGGGAGGCCUACCCCAGUGGGGCAGGCGGGGGGGUCCGGGGGGCCUCCUGCAGCCGGGGCUCCAGCACUGAGUCAGGAGGAAGGCCGCAGCCUCGCCUCGCUGCUCACUGCUUCUCCUUUGAUCUCUUCUUUUACUUUGGUUUAAUGCAGGCGUCAGCAGACGCCUUCUGGUCUACUGUCUGUUUUUCUGGAGCCUGAAAGCUGUAGCUUUUUUAGUUGAAAAAGAAAAUCAAAAUUAGAAUACGAUUUCACGACAUGUGAAAACUAUGUGAAGUUCAAAUUUCUGAGUCCAAAUACGCACCUUUAUUGGAACAUCGCCGGGUGCGUUCCUGUGUUGCCCACAGGCGGCCUUUUUUCCUCCCUAGCAUGGUGCAGUCGCCUGUUCGCCGCAGAGACUGUAGCCCACAAAGCCUCAGACAUUAAGUUUGUCCACUGGUGCUCUAAUGCUUUUCAUGCCCAUCUGAGAGGCAGGAGGCUGAUAACAUGACGGUGGGAAAGGCCGCAUGAGAUCCUGUUAGCUUCUGUGAGCUGGUUGUGAGCCAUGCGCAGGAAAUGUUUGAGGCGUCUCUUGUCCCGUUUCCCUUGAAACCUGACGCAUCCACAGCUCAGUGCACAGUGACAGGCAUUUACAUAUGUCCUUCUGGUUUUGUCUAUUUUGAAUUUAGUUAUGGGGAAAUUUUUAACAUGUCUCAAAAAGAAAGUAUCUGAGAUGAGUCAAAAAGACUGUAGACUGCGCUUGCCUGAGUGUAGGAAAUCUGGAUCUCACUCCCAGUUGUGCUGGAAACUGGCCAGAGGACAGCAGGAAAGUCCUUUAACCCCCUAGAGGUCUCUCUAAGCGAUAGUGUUGAUUGGUGAAUAACCCAGAUCAUCUCUAGGCACCAUUCAGCCCAGCAGAGACGCUGCUUGUGAAAGGAGCGCGUACUCUGGCCUCCGACAGACCUGGGUGUGAAUCCUGGCUCUGUCGUUUGCUACAGAUGACCUUGGGCAGGUGCUCUGAACCCUCUGGGCCUUAGCCAGGGCAGCUGGAAGUGUGGCUCUAGGAAGGGCCUUCUGAGCUCGUGUUCUCACAGCUCCCGGCACUAAUCAGUGUUUAAUCCGGUGCGGCUAUGAACACUAUGAUCAGCCUGUGAGCCCUUUACUAUAUAGGAUGAGACAUUUUAAACGGCAAAGACCUCCCUGCAGUUUGUUUUAAUGACUUAUUAAUGGCCCAUCAGCUGUGACUUAGUACAUUUGCAUUCUUGCUGAUAACAGGCUCCCCCAGACACUGACUUCUUUGAACCAAGACUUUCCCUACCUGAUAAACCUUCUGCGCCUGUUUUAACUGGAAUUGGCACAGAGAGUGUCUUGCCUUGUCAACACAUCCGAUGGUAAUUUCAUUUUACUGUGCUUAGAGCAAGUGAUAGUGGGGAUUUUGUGCGUCAUAUCAUCUUUCCUCUGUUUUAGCUACUUUCUUUUCUUUCCACCCAUUCUCAAUAAUUUAUUGAGUUGUUUAAUAAUUUUAAUUCUCCUAAGGUAGUUUGUUUUGUUUGGGUUUUUUUUAUGGCUGCACCCGCGGCAUAUGGAGGUUCCCGGGCUAGGGGUGGAAUCAGAGCUGCAGCUGCUGGCCUACACCACAGCCACAGCAACGCUAGGUCCUGAACCCACUGAGCAAGGCCAGGGAUCGAACCCACAACCUCAUGGAUACUAGUCAGGUUUGUAACCCACUGAGCCACAACAGGAACGCCAAGGUUAGUUUUGAUGAGGAGACUUAGACGGAGAAGUUCUAAUAUUUGCUUAGCAUUAUUUUUGUUGAUUUAGAGGUAACAUAAUUUUAGAGACAGUAUUGGGUUGUCAGGACACCGCACUUUCUGUCUUUGAAUCAUUUUCUUCUUUGUUUAUGAAAGUCUAUUGAAUAUUAAUUAUAUACUUUAUUUCAAGCAAACUCAAUGUUAUGAAAUAUUUGUGCUUAUGAUUUGCUUAAUGAAAAAGACACGGGAUUCCUCAAAUAGCCAGCUUUUCUAGUAGAAUCAAGAUAAUGAUUUGAGCUACACACAGCUGUAUAAGCGCAUGUCCCUGCACAGCAUGCUAGACAGGGAUUAGGCCGAGGUCAAGAGCACAGGCUUCGGAGUCAGAGAACACAGCUGCAGCUUAGGGCCUGGCUUUGCCUCUUGUGGCCUGUGGGACCGUACUUCCCGCGGGGGUGAUGGUCCUCAGGGCGGUGGGAAAGAUGAAUGUGAAAUUCUGCCCAGGAGGUGCUUAGCCUGGUGCCCGACAGGCAGCAAGUGCUUCCGGCACAUCCGUUGCUGGUGGAUGAUUUUAGGGAUCAGUACAACGAACUGCUGUCUGUGGCUAGAGACCGGAAUCCUGCUGUCUCUCAAGCUUCAUUUACUGCUCUCUGAUCUCAGACUCCAGCCACAGCGAGCUCGUGGGGCAAGUCCCCUGAAAUUCCACGGCCCCCUCCUGCUCUAAAUGUGUGCCUGUGAUCGUCCGCAUCGAACCUCCUUCUCCUCCCUUCUUUUUCUCCGGACUCACUGCUCCUUCAGGGCUCGGCUGGGGGAGUUCUCCUCCAGGAAGCCUGGGGCGGAGGCUUCGGCCCUCGUGCCUCCCCAGAGGCCCGUGCACACCUCUCUCGGCGUCCACACUGCGGUGUGAGGGGCCGUGUACCCGCAGUCUCUCUAUCGAAGGGCACUGUGUUCGGCUUCAGAAAUGCCGUGUGGUGGUGGACAAGACAGACCUGUUCUCCAGGCAAGUGCAUCCUGCACGUUUGGGGAAGACAAAUAUUUAAAUAAUCGCGAGCAAGCACAGGGCUUCGGGAGAGCCGUGCACGCAGUGGAACAGCAGCAGCUCUGGACCUCCUGUGGACACGCCGGAGAAGCCUUUUGCUAAGGAAGUGGUGUUUAUUUAAGUCGAAACCUGGGAGUCAGCAAGGAAAAAAAAAAGGAAGAGUUCCAGGUAGAGAAACCCGCCUGGGUGGGUGACUUUGGGCCCGUUAUUUAGCUUCUCUGGGCAUCUGCUUUCUCAUUCGUAACAGGGCAGUAGGGUGACUGCCUCCUCGGAUUGCGCUGCGCACAAAUGCGGUUUCAAGCCCUCGUCUUCGGAGGCCUCUUUCUGCUGGGAAGCGCAGUCAGGUCCCAGAGCCCCAUUCCCGGGUCCCGUUUGCUUGUCGAGUUGCCGGGUGUUGGAGUCUUUCGCCUUUGAGGAACAGAGACGCCAACUCAGUGACUUAAACAGGCGGGAUUUCAGAUAAUAGGACGUCUGCAAGGCUGGUUGAUGCAGCAGCUCGGGACCCAGGUUCAUUUUAUGUUCCUGCCCUGCCAUGCUCAGAACAUCGGCUUGUCCCCGCUGGCGCCCCCGGUCUCAGGUGGUCUGCUGCCGUCCCGCGUGUCACAGAUAGCUGCCAGAAUCCCCAGCCGAGGAAGAGUGGCUGCCUCUUUCCUUGUCUCUCUCUUCAUCGGUGGCCUUUUGGGUCGUUUCCACCUUUUGGCUCUUGUGAGUAAGGCUGGUAGGAGAAAGGAAACCGUGCCAGCUUCAUUCAGCCUGCCCGCUCCAGAGGGUGGCGGUGGCCUGUUGGGGGAAAGCACCAGAGUGGGAGUGAGAGUUCCUCGUUCAGGCUUUACUUUGCCCUUGACUGCUAGGAAUCAAGGUGUUUCCUUCUGAAACACGUUCGUGAGUCACCAUGGGGUUUCCAGCAGAGCACUGCCUGGAACCAGACUCACACCAGACAGGCGGGUCAUCCCCGAACAAGCCCAUCCCAGCGGAACCAGAAAACUGGGCCUUGCCUUCCUUAAUUGGAGCCUGACUUAGAGUCAGAUAUUGAACUGCAAAGAAAGUAUUAGCCAUUCAGCAAAAGAAUUUAAAUUACGGGUCUGUCCAUAUUUAGCGUUUCUUGCAAUCAUUUCCACUGUAUGUAACACUGAAAUCCUUUGUGGUUGUCUGCCGCAGAAAUGAAUCUUUGACCCGGCAACUUUAAAUGUGCUUGACACCCCUGGGACUUUUGAGGAUGCUUAAUUUAAUCUGGGCCGGUCUAGAGGCGGGGGCCGGGGUGAGGGAGAGUGCUCUCCUUUCGUGUGGAAGGUUAUGCAGCUUGUCAGCAGAGGCCCGUGCUCCUGGAACUCCUGUUACUAGGCAGUAGUUACAGGCACAGGAAGUAUCGUAUUCUAACUUGUGUUUCAGGAGGCAGUAGGGAACCAGCCAAGCGCAGAGAGGAGUGGAGGUGACCGGCAAGGAGGGCCCUGCAGCGCUGCAGGUGCUGAGGGUUUUAUCAAAGUAGGGGAGAAGGAGAGGCUGCAGUGUUCUGCUGGGGGCUCUGACUUCCUCUGCAUGGCUCGCUGACCACAUGCCUCUCCAGCAGCCACUGGGGGGUAGGGGCUAUAAAUUGCCCCUCUCCUUCCGCAUCUCAUGGGUUAUCUCUUUAGUUUAACUGAUUCUUAUUUGUCUCUUGUGCUAACUUCGUUCUUGUCAAGCAGGGACUUGUCCUGCCAAAGAGAGCAGGAAGGUCACUUGACCGGGCCCUCUGGUUCCUUGUCUAGACAGCGUCCUCGGCCCUGUCCCUCAGGGACUCAGCUUGUUUAGACUCAUGAACCUCCCUGAAGGGAAGGAGGAGGCAUUAGAGACACACGGAACUCAGCCAGCGUCUCUGAAUGACAGUGAAUUUUGAGCUCUCAUUGUAACUUUCCACUGAUCUGCUGUGCGUGUCUCUUCUCUGAGCCUCGUCCUCUGGUUGGUAGCGUGCAGAUGUGCUGACCCUGGAGGAAGCUCGUGAAGAACUCAUGAGAGAGGCCGGACCUCUGCAAGGGUAGAGCAGAGUCUUUCCAAGGGUCACUGCUGACCGAGUGCCACUGGAGGGGGUCGAGGAGGGGCGUGAGGCUGCACGGCCUCCCUCUGGGGGCUAAACGUAGCUCCUCGCGAGGAGCUGAGACGCGCAUAGGGCAGCGCGUGUGCGGCGCGUGGCUUCAGGGCAGCGGUAGGUGGGUGUGAUGGAUGGACUCACGGGGUCCUCAAAGGCCACGCUUCCCCUGUAGGGACGCUGUGGUCCAGAAUCGCUCUGUUAAAUGGGGGUCGGUGCCCUCAUUUACACUCUUUUAGAUUAAGUGACUCUUAUUUGCUGUCAUAGAUACUCUUCAGUUAUUUGAGAAAAAGGCUGUGUUUUUCAAAGAGACGAAGAGAAUGUGGGACAUGGUAGGUGUCUCCUGAUAGAGGUCCACAAGCCACCUGUAAAGUAGCCUUGCAGGCUCGAACAGAACCUGAGUUUGUUUAAAAAACAAAAACAAAAAACACCUCUAGACCUUACUAUGGAUUUAGAGGGAAUCCGAGGGACAGAAACACAGUAAAUGUUUUUUUAGGGAUGCAGUCAGUAAAUUCCAAACUACUUUAUGGGACAAACUAGUUUCUUCAACAAAUAAAUAAUAAGGGGGGGGAGGAUGGAGAGGCCUCCUGUAGAUUAAAAAGAGACUUGAGAUGAAUGAACCAAUAGAAAUAUGUGGAUCUGAUUCAAACAAAAACAAUGCAGGGGAAAAUGUGGAUACUGGCUGAUUAUUUUAUGGUAUUAGGAAGCUUAUCGGGAGUUCCCUUUGUGGCUUAGUGGUAACAAACCCGACUAGUAUCCAUGAGGAUGCAGGUUGGAUCCCUGGCCCUGCUCAGUGGGUUCAGGAUCCGGCCCUGCCACGAGCUAUGGUGUAGGUUGCAGACAUGGCUCAUAUCCCACCUUGCUGUGGCUGUGGCAUGGGCUGGCAGCUGCACCUCUGAUUUGACCCCUAGCCUGGGAACUUCCAUAUGCUGCGGGUGUGGCCAUUAAAAAAAAAAAAAAAAA